UCCGGUUUGUCACCGGCAGUCUCAUUAGAGUGCCCUUUCGUAGCAACUAAUGACAAGGGUUGCGCUCGUUGCGGGACUUAACCCAACAUCUCACGACACGAGCUGACGACAGCCAUGCAGCACCUGUGUAUCGGCUCUCCUUCGAGCACCCCGAGAUCUCUCCCGGGUUCCGACCAUGUCAAGGGUAGGUAAGGUUUUUCGCGUUGCAUCGAAUUAAUCCACAUAAUCCACCGCUUGUGCGGGUCCCCGUCAAUUCCUUUGAGUUUUAACCUUGCGGCCGUACUCCCCAGGCGGUCAACUUCACGCGUUAGCUACGGUACCAAGGAAUCGCUUCCCCAACACCCAGUUGACAUCGUUUAGGGCGUGGACUAC
rnacentral:misc_RNA from 1 species